CCAUAGCCGGGAAAAGUGGGGGAGAUUAAGUGUGUAUGUUGCCUGUGUGUCAUGUUUUGUGUGUGAAUGUUAACUGUCUGGGGCAGUUGCUUGAGGGAUUGCUUGUGUGGUGUGUGUGUGUAUGUGUUGGAGGCUGCUUGUGGAGUUGUGUGCAUAUAUGUGGGUUGUCACUGGUGUUGUGUUUGUGUGGGCAACUUAUGAAACGGUGUCUCUGUUUUCA